rnacentral:rRNA from 1 species
AGUAACACGUGGAUAAUCUACCCUCUUGUGGGGAAUACCGAUGGGAAACCGUCGACAAUACCGCAUAAGCUCGAGAGAGGAAAGCAGCAAUGCGCUGGAGGAGGAGUCCGCGGCUGAUUAGCUAGUUGGUGAGGUAAUGGCUCACCAAGGCUCAGAUCAGUAGCCGGCCUGAGAGGGCACACGGCCACACUGGCACUGAAACACGGGCCAG